GAUGAACGCUAGCUCCAGGCCUAACACAUGCAAGUCGAGCGACCGGCGCACGGGUGAGUAACACGUAUCCAACCUGCCCUUUACUCGGGGUUAGCCUUUCGAAAGAAAGAUUAAUACCCGAUAUCAAGGAUGGGGAUGCGUUUCAUUAGGUUGUUGGUGAGGUAACAGCUCACCAAGCCUUCGAUGGGAAGGGGUUCGGAGGGGAAGGCCACCCGCAUUGGAAAGAGGGCACGGACCAAAAUCGUACGGGAGGCAGCAGUGAGGAAUAUUAGUCAAUGGACGCUAACCUGAACCAGCCGAGUAGCGUGAAGGGUGAAGACUUUUGAAUCGUAUUCAUGUGUUGUAGAAGAGUAUGUAUUAUAUGAAUAAGGAUCGGCUAACUCCGUGCCAGCAGCCGCGGUAAUUC
rnacentral:rRNA from 1 species